GGAAGGAUCAUUAAAAAAAAAAAGGGAGUUUUGAAAAAAAAUUCUAAAAACGGAAAAAGAUGGAUGCGUUUUUUUGUAUUACGGUGAUUUUGAAAAGAAGAAACGGGGGUUUUUUUUUAAAAAGUUGAAAAAAAAGAAUUGCGAAAACCUUAUACAUUGGAUGACUUGGUUUUGUGUUGGAUGGAGAACGCUGUAAAGUGCGAUAAUUAAUGUGACAUACAAUUAUUGAAUCAUUAAAAUUUUGAAUGCAAAUGGCAGAAAGAAUAAAAUCUUUCUAAAAAAGGAAGAGAGGAAAUUAAAGAAAAAAAAAAGAUGUGGAAAGAAUGUUUCGAAAGAAAAAAAUUCUUUUUAAAGUACGAGUAGAAAAAGCGGCGGCGGCGGCGGCGGCGGCGGAGGGGAUGUUCCCAGGGGGAUUUUUUUUUAUUGAUAAAAAGAAGAAAAAAAAAAAAACUUGGAAAAAGAGUCCCCACUCGGACGCGCGCGCGAGCGAAAAAAAAAAUACAUCUUUCCCUCUUCUCUUUUUUCAUUACUCGGUGAAUUUAAGCAUAUUAUUAACCGAAGGAAAAGAAAUCAAAUGAGAUACCUCUAGUAGUGGCGAACGAAGAAGGUGACAGGUCAAAGGGUAGGGUGCCGGGCUGUAAUGCCUUUGGUUCCGAUUCCCCUUUACAAUUCGAAUCGUGUGAGGGCCGGGAUGGGGUUGAACUGGAAUGGAACUUCCGGACAGAGAGGGUGAAAUCCCCGUAAACCCCCCCACGUGGGUGCCUCUAGAUCAGGUUUGGAUUUGGAGUAGCGUAGUUUGGGAAUACUGCGUAAAGAUGGAGGUAUGUUUCUUCAAAACCUAAAUAUGACACAAAGACCGAUAGAGGAGAAGUACUGCGAAGGAAAGUUGAAAAGAAUUGCGAAAGCAAAGUUAAAAGUACCUGAACAUGUAUAAGGAGAACAAGAAGGAGAAAUUAAAGGGCGUGCACGGUUUCACUGUGGGGCGCUCGGGGAGAGGGGGGGAGCGGUGGAGGAGAAAGGGGAGAAAGUGAGCGGAUGGCGCAAAAAAGUCCAUCUUGAGUCGUUUUCCCUGGAACUGCCACGAGGAUGCUCUACCAGGAAAGUUGUAACACCCUGGGGCUCUGGGGAGUCUGUGGAGCGGUCAGGUUUAAGAACAAGAAAUUGUGCGUAGACGGGAUGCUCGACAGGUUUUUUCCAACCACCAAAAUUACAAGGCUUCUCCAAGAAUGACUUUUUCUAUCCCGUCUUGAAACACGGACCAAGGAGUGCAUCAUAGCUGAGAGCGUUUUAGUGGGAAAACUAGUAACGCGUAAUGAAAGUAAAAGGGGAGUGAUGGCGUGUGGAGAGCGCGCUUGCAACUUCUGCCGGAUGUGAUUUUUUUUGACCAUUCUGAGCGAAAUUAGCUAUGAUACAACCCGAAAGAUGAUGAUCUUUACACGACGAGGUUGAAGCCUGGUGAAAAUCAGGUGGAGGACCGACGGGCGUUCUGACGUGCAAAUCGAUGCUCACAGUUGUGUAAAGGGGCGAAAUACUCAUCGAAUCAUUUAGUUGCUGGUUUUCUU
rnacentral:misc_RNA from 1 species